AGACUAUGAUAUGGGUAGUGUCUUUGUUGAUCCUUGCAUCUUUCCCAAUCUCAUAUAAAGUUUCCCUAUCCCUCAUAGUAAAUGUGGCGAUGCCAUUUUUAAGUUU